rnacentral:rRNA from 1 species
UGGGGGAUAUUGCACAAUGGGCGAAAGCCUGAUGCAGCGACACCGCGUGGGGGAUGAAGGCCUUCGGGUUGUAAACUUCUUUUGCUCUGAACAAGGCAUGCUAAUGGGUGUGUUGAGUGUAGGGGUUGAUUAGCGCCGGCUAACUACGUGCCAGCAGCCGCGGUAAUACGUAGGGCGCGAGCGUUGUCCGGAAUUAUUGGGCGUAAAGGGCUUGUAGGUGGCUGGUUGCGUCUGUCGUGAAAGCUCAUGGCUUAACUGUGGGUUUGCGGUGGGUACGGGCUGGCUUGAGUGCAGUAGGGGAGGCUGGAAUUCCUGGUGUAGCGGUGGAAUGCGCAGAUAUCAGGAGGAAUACCGGUGGCGAAGGCGGGUCUCUGGGCUGUUACUGACACUGAGGAGCAAAAGCAUGGGGAGCGAACAGG